UACGUAGGGGGCGAGCGUUGUCCGGAGUUACUGGGCGUAAAGCGCACGCAGGCGGUCUGCUAAGUUUGGGGUGACAGUUGGUGGCUUAACUGCCAAAGUGCUUCGAAAACUGACAGACUUGAGGGCUUCAGAGGGACGCGGAAUUCCGGGUGGAGUGGUGAAAUGCGUAGAGAUCCGGAGGAACACCAAAGGCGAAGGCAGUGUCCUGGGGAGUACCUGACGCUCAGUUGCGAAAGCCAGGGGAGCGAACGGG
rnacentral:rRNA from 1 species